ACACAAUCUGGAAAAUCUGGAACAGUUCCAUCACUUUAGUUUGCAUCUGAGCCCAACCCACCAAAUUAGCUUGAUGAUAUCGCCGCCCCCAAUGAAGUGGCUAUGGCUUGUAGAGAUGGGCGUGGGUCAAUGGCUGUGCACAAACUAACCAUCGAUUUUAUGCCUUGCUGCUGCCUCGAUGGAAGUAUGUGUGGCCUUUAUAAAAGCUGCACUCUGGUCAACUAAGCGAGCUUGUGUCCACUUGUGAAGUGCCUGUGUACACAAAAUGGCUUCCUCUUCGAAAAUAUUCUAUGGCUACCAAGAUAGUCCAGAGGGUCUACCAAUGGAUACUACUCAGUCCUACAUGCUGUAUAGCUUGUUUUAAACUUUUUUUUUUUUUUUUUAAGUGUCCUAAUUGAACAGCUCAGCAGAACUUCAAAGGAUAAUCGCAUUCAUGAUACUAUCCAAUCUGCCACAGAAUCCAAUAUCGUGCAAUAUUCACAAGUUGAUAGCACGCUCCCUCCCAGAUUGUUGUUGUAAAAAUUACAACAUUUUGACCGGUAAAGGGAUAUACACACUCUUUCGGAAUGGUGAUAUUAACAGGGGAUUGGCUUUGUUCACUCGAUGUCAGGAACGGAAGUUAAAUUUAACCACAACCACACCCCUAGAAUUCUUCAGCAGUUGCACUGGGACUGGGCACAACAAUAUUAUGGAGGAGUAGUGGAUGAUGUUGAAUGCCUCCUAGGGCUGCACAGCUCUACUGUACUAUGAGUACCAGGACUUCAGUGAGCAAGGUGCAGGUGCAGGUGCAUGGACGAUGAACAGACUCACAUUGUUACCAAACAACCAUUCACUCGGAUCUAAGAAACAAAGGCAACAAAGUUUGCAGCUCUAAAGCAAGUACUCUUGGGAAAGAAAGUGGAGACAAUAAAAUGUAGUAACAUAAUGUUCAAGAGAUUAUCACGGAUAAAGGCACUAAGACAGGCUAAGGAGAAAUUACUGGAAGAAAACGCUCCUGCUGAGUCCAUCUAUAAUCUCAGCCACAAAGCAGUAAAUUCUUUGUUUCACUACACGCUUUAAUGAAUGUACCUGCAUGUAAAUGCAUGAGAUAUAUAAAUGAUUGAUUAUGGCAAACAGGGAGAAAGAGGUACAACGAAUACUCUGAGAAGAUUGUCUUGGUUACAAGAUGCCUGCAUUGUGCCGAUCCGAGUGAAUGGUUGCUGGGUUCAAUGAAACAGCAAAUGAUGGGAAGUAACAACUCAUAUACAUGAAUGUGUGCUGGACAGCCCACUUUGUGUGUACGCGUGCAUGUAUCUUGGAGACGUGUUCGACUAGAUGUUAAAGUAAAGUACUGUGCUGACCAAACUAUACUGACAUGGCACCGCAAUGCUGCUUUUGAAUGCUCGAAACAAUAAUGGGAUACUAUCGAACAUUAUUUAAUUGCCCUAAAUGGUUACCUACAAAUUAAUAUUUGUAAUAACAAUAUUAUUUUAAUGUUAUUUUGGUAACAAUCUGUUUUCGUCGUCCACCUUGCACCUGUUUCUAUAGCUUGCUCACUGGAGUCCUGGUACCAAUGUACUCAUAGUAGUCUACUUAGUAAAGUACAGCUGAAAGCCUCCUAGAGCUGUACAGUACAGCUCUAGGAGGCUUUCAGCAUCAUCCAUUACUCCUUUAUGAAUGUUGUGCCCCCUGAAGCUAUUAUGUGAAGAAUUCGAGGGGUGUGGUUGUGGUUAAAUAACUUCCGUUCCUGACAUCGAGUGAACAAAGCCAAUCCCUUAGGUGAAGGGGAGGCUAGGCUAGCUCCUCGCAUGCAAGUUAAGUUGACACAAG